rnacentral:rRNA from 1 species
GACGAACGCUGGCGGCGUGCCUAACACAUGCAAGUCGAACGGAGAGUUAGCAAUAACUCUUAGUGGCGAACGGGUGAGUAACGCGUAGACAACCUGCCUCUAAACUGGGGAUAACACCGCGAAAGUGGUGCUAAUACCGAAUGUGGUAACUUGAUCGCAUGAUCGAGUUAAGAAAGAUGGCCUCUGAAUAUGCUAUCGAUUAGAGAUGGGUCUGCGUCUGAUUAGCUAGUUGGUGAGGUAAUGGCUCACCAAGGCGACGAUCAGUAGCCGGUCUGAGAGGAUGAACGGCCACACUGGGACUGAGACACGGCCCAGACUCCUACGGGAGGCAGCAGUGGGGAAUCUUCCGCAAUGGACGAAAGUCUGACGGAGCAACGCCGCGUGAGUGAAGAAGGUCUUCGGAUUGUAAAGCUCUGUCGUUUGGGACGAACGCGGGUAGUGUGAAUAAUGCUAUCUAACGACGGUACCAAAGGAGGAAGCCACGGCUAACUACGUGCCAGCCGCCGCAGUAAAAC